GAAUUCUGCUUGUCUCUGUAGGCAUGCCAGAGUUCUACUAGUUACUUGUUAUUAGAUUAGGAAAACUAACCUUAUGAAUAAGAAGUUAUAUUUCAUCAAUACUUAUACAGAAAUGGAAAUCUAUGUGGGAAAACAUCACAUACUUAGGACUGUAUGAGUGUUAUAUUAUGCUAUUUGAAACUGCAUAACUAUGUAGGAAUAUAAAUGAGGUGAAGGCAUAUUAUACAAUUUUGAAAUU
rnacentral:lncRNA from 1 species